rnacentral:rRNA from 1 species
GAUGAACGCUGGCGGCGUGCCUAAUACAAGCAAGUCGAGCGAAUGGAUUAAGAGCUUGCUCUUAUGAAGUUAGCGGCGGACGGGUGAGUAACACGUGGAUAACCUGCCCAUAAGACUGGGAUAACUCCGGGAAACCGGGGCUAAUACCGGAUAACAUUUUGAACCGCAUGGUUCGAAAUUGAAAGGCGGCUUCGGCUGUCACUUAUGGAUGGACCCGCGUCGCAUUAGCUAGUUGGUGAGGUAACGGCUCACCAAGGCAACGAUGCGUAGCCGACCUGAGAGGGUGAUCGGCCACACUGGGACUGAGACGCGGCCCAGACUCCUACGGGAGGCAGCAGUAGGGAAUCUUCCGCAAUGGACGAAAGUCUGACGGAGCAACGCCGCGUGAGUGAUGAAGGCUUUCGGGUCGUAAAACUCUGUUGUUAGGGAAGAACAAGUGCUAGUUGAAUAAGCUGGCACCUUGACGGUACCUAACCAGAAAGCCACGGCUAACUACGUGCCAGCAGCCGCAGUAA